rnacentral:sRNA from 1 species
UGGGGAGAGGACCAUGGUGAGAACUGUCACCUCUAGCCAAUAGCAAUGUUGAUGCAUUAUCUUGAAGUGGAGCCUUUAGCUUCAAUCAACUCUAAAGGCCAAUUGAAAUGCGAACUCAAAGGAUACUAUACUAUGAUGUAUGUAAAAGAAAGGAGAAGCAGAACAUUGAAUGCAAGAUACAGAAGAGUACCAAUUCUUCAAAAUUCUAUCCUAACCUGUCUUUCAAGUUCAAAGAAGAUUGGAGAAUACUUUUUAACACUGACCUACCUGGAUACUUUUGAGAUCUGAUGAAUUAAAAAUACAUUAUAAAUUACAAAUUACUAAUGUGGGUACUGCAGUAACACUGGAAAUGUCCAUUCAUGAACAAGAGUCUUCUGUGUACAUUGUAACAAGACUUCAGCCUCUUUACAGUUCCUCUGCAAUUGUCAAAUCUUCUAAAAACCAGGAGACAGCUGGAGAAAUCCACACAAGGUCCUUCAUGUUCUAUAUGACUUGGAUUGUAUCUGUUCUCUUAUCAAUGAUGUGCUGAAAGCAUGGUCCCUAGGGUGCUGGCAUUGAGAUGGGAUGUUGAACUUUUAAGAGAUGGGAUCUACUCAGAAAAUUGGACAUUGAA